rnacentral:rRNA from 1 species
GACGAACGCUGGCGGCGUGCCUAAUACAUGCAAGUAGGACGCAGUUGCGAACGGGUGAGUAACGCGUAGGGAACUGCCUAUUAGAGGGGGAUAACUAUUGGAAACGAUAGCUCAUACCGCAUACUAGUAGAUGGACCUGCGUUGGAUUAGCUAGUAUGUAGGGUAAUGGCCUACCUAGGCGACGAUACAUAGCCGACCUUAGGUGCUGAUCGGCCACAAUGGCACUUAGACACGGCCCAGACUCCUACGGUAUGCAGCAGUAGGGAAUCUUUGGCAAUGGGGGGAACCCUGACCGAGCAACGCCGCGGGAGUGAAGAAGGUUUUCGGAUCGUAAAGCUCUGGUGUUAAGGAAGCGGUACUUAACCAGAAAGGGACGGCUAACUACGUGCCAGCAGCCGCGGUAAUUC